ACUUGUCUAGCUCAGUUGGUAAAAUACAAGGCUCUUAACCAUGUGGUCGCGGGUUCGAGCCCCAUGGUGGGCA
rnacentral:tRNA from 7 species